GGGGAAUAUUGGACAAUGGGCGAAAGCCUGAUCCAGCCAUGCCGCGUGUGUGAAGAAGGUCUUCGGAUUGUAAAGCACUUUAAGUUGGGAGGAAGGGCAGUUACCUAAUACGUGAUUGUUUUGACGUUACCGACAGAAUAAGCACCGGCUAACUCUGUGCCAGCAGCCGCGGUAAUACGGAGGGUGCAAGCGUUACUCGGAAUCACUGGGCGUAAAGAGCACGUAGGCGGCCUUGCAAGUCAGAUGUGAAAUCCAACGGCUUAACCGUUGAACUGCAUUUGAAACUGCAAGGCUAGAGUAUGGGAGAGGUAGGUGGAAUUCUCGGUGUAGGGGUAAAAUCCGUAGAGAUCGAGAGGAAUACUCAUUGCGAAGGCGACCUGCUGGAACAUUACUGACGCUGAGGUGCGAAAGCGUGGGGAGCAAACA
rnacentral:rRNA from 1 species